rnacentral:rRNA from 1 species
AACGUAGGUACCGAGCGUUAUCCGGAUUUACUGGGCGUAAAGCGCGUUCAGGCGGUUUGGCAAGUCGGGCAUGAAAUCUCUCGGCUCAACCGGGAGAGGUUGUCCGAUACUUCCAGACUUGAGGGCAGUAGAGGGUGGUGGAAUUCCUGGUGUAGCGGUGAAAUGCGUAGAUAUCUGGAGGAACACCGGUGGCGAAGGCGGCAUCCUGGACCAAUUCUGACGCUGAGGAGCGAAAGCCAGGGGAGCAAACAGG